AGUCCUCUCCUUCUUCCACCUACGACGAUCGUUACAGUAUGUAAACUUCCGACUUCAACUGUAUAUAUAUAUAUAUAUAUAUGAAACUGGGAUAGAAGGAUGAGAUUCAUGGUCCUCUUACUCACUUUUCUAAUGUACAUCAACAGUAUUAAUAGUAUUGAUCCAUAUGGACAUACUAACUGAAGUUGUUUUCUUGCUCGUGCGUGUUUCAGUAGCACAGAACAGGAUGUAGACCAAUCAUACUGUGUUUGAAGGAUUACAAAGACCUCAUAGCAAUUAUGGACCCUGCCAUAACAUUAUUUUGGACAGCUUAAGUGGGUGAGAUCUGGUUUUAAUAACAUAAUUUCUAUAGUGUGUAAUGGCUAGGUUGUUAGAAUCUUCUCCAUUUCUCUUGUUCAAGCAGCCUUUGCAAAAUACCCCGAGUGCACUUUAAUCUAUGGCAAAUUAUCAAGAUAAAUGUCACAUUUACAUCACUUUGUCAAAAGUGAAUAAUUGUAAUAGUCAAUUCCCAGAAGUCUAAUGAAAUUUGGCUUAACACCGAAAACCCUCACAAAUUUUACAGAUGAACAAUUGAAGCACUCUGUCGGGCUGUAUCACUGCCUGGUACGGCAAAUGCACCGCCCACAACCGCAAAGCUCGCCAGAGAGUGGUGCGGUCUGCCCAACGCUUUACCGGGGGCAAACUUCCCACCCUCCUGGACACCUACAGCACUCGAUGCCAUAGGAAGGCCAAAAAUAUCAUCAAGAACAUCAACCACCCGAGCCCCUGCCUGUUCAUCCCGCUAUCAUCCAGAAGGCGAUGUCAGUACAGAGAGGAUCCCACUGCCAAUGCUGACACCCAUGCUGAUGUCUCUGCUGCAGCAGCCCGUGGAUAACCUGUUAUGACACGGUGUAGCGCCCUCUGGUCCCUCAGGAUGGGGUAGAGAAUGCCCCCAAAUCACCCCAUGUUUUGGAGGGGAAAUACUAACUGACACCAGCUCAUAAGAAUGCCCACUGGAGGGAUGUGAAAGAUGCUGCCUGGGAUCUGUGACCUUUGCCCUUUCCCAGCGUGACUGAUUUCCUCUGGUGUUCAGAGUGGACUGGGGUUUUCUAGCAUCAUUUGAAAUCAAUGGUGUUGAAAGAGAUGGCACCUCGUCAG